rnacentral:rRNA from 1 species
AGGACGAACGCUGGCGGCGUGCUUAACACAUGCAAGUCGAGCGGAAAGGCCCUUCGGGGUACUCGAGCGGCGAACGGGUGAGUAACACGUGAGCAACCUGCCCUUAGCUCUGGGAUAGCUCCGGGAAACCGGAAUUAAUACCGGAUAUGACUUCGAGAGGCAUCACUUGAAGUGCAAAGCUCCGACGGUUAGGGAUGGGCCCGCGGCCUAUCAGCUUGUUGGUGGGGUAAUGGCCUACCAAGGCGACGACGGGUA